UACGGGGGGGGCAAGCGUUGUUCGGAAUUACUGGGCGUAAAGGGCUCGUAGGCGGCCAACUAAGUCAGACGUGAAAUCCCCAGGCUCAACCUGGGAACCGCGUCUGAUACUGGAUGGCUUGAAUUCGGGAGAGGGAUGCAGAAUUCCAGGUGUAGCGGUGAAAUGCGUAGAUAUCAGGAGGAACACCUGUGGCGAAAGCGGCUCACUGGACCACAACUGACGCUGAGGCGCGAAAGCGAGGGGAGCAAACAGG
rnacentral:rRNA from 1 species